rnacentral:rRNA from 1 species
GAUGAACGCUGGCGGCGUGCUUAACACAUGCAAGUCGAACGAUGAAGCCCAGCUUGCUGGGUGGAUUAGUGGCGAACGGGUGAGUAACACGUGAGUAACCUGCCCUUAACUCUGGGAUAAGCCUGGGAAACUGGGUCUAAUACCGGAUAGGAGCGUCCACCGCAUGGUGGGUGUUGGAAAGAUUUAUCGGUUUUGGAUGGACUCGCGGCCUAUCAGCUUGUUGGUGAGGUAAUGGCUCACCAAGGCGACGACGGGUAGCCGGCCUGAGAGGGUGACCGGCCACAAUGGGACUGAGACACGGCCCAGACUCCUACGGGAGGCAGCAGUGGGGAAUAUUGCACAAUGGGCGCAAGCCUGAUGCAGCGACGCCGCGUGAGGGAUGACGGCCUUCGGGUUGUAAACCUCUUUCAGUAGGGAAGAAGCGAAAGUGACGGUACCUGCAGAAGAAGCACCGGCUAACCACGUG